AAAUCAGAUGAUGAGAAAGAAACUGCAACAAUAUGAUGGUAAAUUCCAUGAUUCGUAAAGUAUUUAAGUCUCUGAUGAUU